AGUGAACGCUGGCGGUAGGCCUAACACAUGCAAGUCGAACGGCAGCACAGUAAGAGCUUGCUCUUACGGGUGGCGAGUGGCGGACGGGUGAGGAAUACAUCGGAAUCUACUUUUUCGUGGGGGAUAACGUAGGGAAACUUACGCUAAUACCGCAUACGACCUACGGGUGAAAUCAGGGGAUCUUCGGACCUUUCGCGAUUGAAUGAGCCGAUGUCGGAUUAGCUAGUUGGCGGGGUAAAGGCCCACCAAGGCGACGAUCCGUAGCUGGUCUGAGAGGAUGAUCAGCCACACUGGAACUGAGACACGGUCCAGACUCCUACGGGAGGCAGCAGUGGGGAAUAUUGGACAAUGGGCGCAAGCCUGAUCCAGCCAUACCGCGUGGGUGAAGAAGGCCUUCGGGUUGUAAAGACCUUUUGUUGGGAAAGAAAAGCAGCAGGUUAAUACCACGCUGUUCUGACGGUACCCAAAGAAUAAGCACCGGCUAACUUCGUG
rnacentral:rRNA from 1 species